AGAGUUUGAUCCUGGCUCAGAGCGAACGCUGGCGGCAGGCCUAACACAUGCAAGUCGAACGGACCCUUCGGGGUUAGUGGCGGACGGGUGAGUAACACGUGGGAACGUGCCUUUAGGUUCGGAAUAGCUCCUGGAAACGGGUGGUAAUGCCGAAUGUGCCCUUCGGGGGAAAGAUUUAUUGCCUUUAGAGCGGCCCGCGUCUGAUUAGCUAGUUGGUAAGGUAAUGGCUUACCAAGGCGACGAUCAGUAGCUGGUCUGAGAGGAUGAUCAGCCACAUUGGGACUGAGACACGGCCCAAACUCCUACGGGAGGCAGCAGUGGGGAAUCUUGCGCAAUGGGCGAAAGCCUGACGCAGCCAUGCCGCGUGAAUGAUGAAGGUCUUAGGAUUGUAAAAUUCUUUCACCGGGGACGAUAAUGACGGUACCCGGAGAAGAAGCCCCGGCUAACUUCGUGCCAGCAGCCGCGGUAAUACGAAGGGGGCUAGCGUUGCUCGGAAUUACUGGGCGUAAAGGGCGCGUAGGCGGAUCGUUAAGUCAGAGGUGAAAUCCCGGAGCUCAACUUCGGAAUUGCCUUUGAUACUGGCGAUCUUGAGUGUGAGAGAGGUAUGUGGAACUCCGAGUGUAGAGGUGAAAUUCGUAGAUAUUCGGAAGAACACCAGUGGCGAAGGCGACAUACUGGCUCAUUACUGACGCUGAGGCGCGAAAGCGUGGGGAGCAAACAGGAUUAGAUACCCUGGUAGUCCACGCCGUAAACGAUGAUUGCUAGUUGUCGGGCUGCAUGCAGUUCGGUGACGCAGCUAACGCAUUAAGCAAUCCGCCUGGGGAGUACGGUCGCAAGAUUAAAACUUAAAUGAAUUGACGG
rnacentral:rRNA from 1 species